rnacentral:lncRNA from 1 species
CUACGGGUGCAGGGAAGCAGAUGGGCAGUGAGAUCUGGGACCGGUAUAGAACCACAGCUGCCACAACUGCCCAUGGCUCCCUCCCUUCUUUGACGUCAGAGUGAGCAGGGCGGUUUCUGCUGCCUUCGCAUUCCAGCCCCACACACCUCCCUGCAGCCUGGCACUGGAAACUGCUGAGCCAUGCAGGGCAGCCUGGUGGCGGCUAGGACACUUCUGCAGAGGACCUGGAGUUGGGCUGCUCCCGGGGCUCCCAUCUCUUGCUGGGUCUGUUUUCAGGUGCACCCUCCUCCUCCAGGAGGCAGGGGCAAGACCAGCUUCAGCCCUUCUUGCUCUCCAUGGCAGAAGUCCUAGCAGAGUAUGCCCACGCUGGUUAGUGCUGCUGCAAAGAUGAGCCGAAGACCAUGAGAGACCUCCAGGUGGUCCUUCUGGGGAGAAGAAAUGGGUUUUGGCCCCAAAUCCUUCUGCUGCAUUUUUCCCCUAUCCCUGGGAAGCCAUGAGACCUCAAACCUGUGUUCCCAAGGAGGCGAGCUGCUGUUCCCAGGUGAUGAUAUGAUGUGCUUGGGGAAAGUAAGUGGCUGCCAGACAUGGCUGAGAGCUGUUGUCACUGCCGUCAAGUGCAUGUCUCCAAGCCAUAUCACACGGCGUCCCUCGAUGUGAGGCCACAUGGCAAGUGGGCCGUGGAUCUCCCUCUGCCCUUUGCAAGCACGUAAGACAGCAGAUUUUGCAGAUACCUUGUGGCGCAGGGGAAUUUCCUUUGGCCAGGUCUGAAGAAAUAAAGCAGCAGGCACCGAGAACAAAGCCAAGGCUUUCAAAAGACAAGGAGCCAAAAAACUUACUCAAAAUAAAAGUAGUUUUAAAAUGUC